CCCCGCGCCUCCCUGCCGCCUUGGUAGCGCCGGUCCGCACUCGGCCUGACCCGGGACGUCACGGCGCCUGCCUGUGUUCCCAAUGAUAACUUGGCAGGAGCAGGGGGAAGCGGCCGGGUUUUUCCUGGGCUCGUUACCGGGGUGACAUUCAGUGCCGGGCGAGCCUCGCCGGUCACCGCCACGUCCCACCUGGAAAAAACACAAACAAAACCACGAAAAAAAAAAAAACCAAAACCAACCCAACAAGAACAGCAAAAAAAAAAAAAGGCGACUGCCGAAAAGGGGGGAUGGGGAGAGAGAAGGUGCCGGCCGCCCACGGCUGGGAUGCGGACGGCGGACGGGACACCUCGCCCAGGGGACGCGGGGACACACGCGCCGCCGACCGCCAGCAGGCCAUGUGCCGAGCGGCCGGCGGGGGCGGGGGAACGGGCACCGCACACACACACACAAAAUCAGUAAAUUAAAAAAAAAAAAAAAAUAAAGGAAUGCCAGAGGAGGCCGGGCGAGGAGCGAGGAUGCCGCACCGCUGCUGGCGUGCAGGCCCGGCGCCGCGCCCCCCCAAUCCCCUGCAAGGCUCUGCAGGGAAAGGCGGGGGAGCCCCCGGCGCACAGCGCCCCACGGCCCCGCCGGGAGCCGGGGUACCCGGGGGGGCUGCGGGCAGGGCAGCCCGGGCCGCACCGGGGCACCCGGCUGCGCAAUGGCGUCGCGGCCGAGGAGAGCCAAGGGCUGGCGCAGAGCCUGGCGCGGCUCGGUGAGGGGAGCCCGAGCCAUCGCUCCCCACCUCCGCUGCCGGGGCAGCCGAGCAGCUGCUCCCGAAGGCGGGAGGGCUCGCGUUAGAGCAGGGCCGGCCGGGCCUGCGGCAGCCCCGGGGCCGCUGUGAGCGCCGAGCAGGCUGGCAGCGCUGUGCCCGGCCAUGGCAGCAGCCACACGCAUUCGCUGCCCUGGCUUCGUGUGCUUCGCAAAGCCAGAUCCUGCAAAUCUCCAUGAACGCUCCCACUAAAUUCUGAGGGCAUUUUCACGUGUGAGGCUUAACUCGCCUGCAGAAGUAUUCCCAGAACUAGGCCUCGCUUGAACUAUCCAUGGCAGCCUGAGUUUAACUGGCUCGUCAUCUAAAAACCAGUUGUUACCCACACAUUGCAUCCCAAACUGCUGCAGCACCACCACACCACCUACUCUGUGACCGCAGAGCGUCCCAGCAGAGCCCUGAGACAAGUUUCCCUCUUCUGUGUUGCUUUUCACACCACCUAUUAUAAUAACAGCAAGUUACAACAUCACCAAUGCACAGGUAACUAGCGCAGCAGAGUCCGUGAAGGGAUGCAUGUAGUAGGGAUGAAACUAAAUUAUUUUUUUUUGCAACUGCCUCUGUUCAGCCUUAAUAUUAGCAUUAAUACUUUCAUUUUCCUCAUUUAAAUACAAUAAAAGGGAAAAUUGCCUUUGCUUAA